rnacentral:rRNA from 1 species
AUUGAACGCUGGCGGCAUGCUUUACACAUGCAAGUCGAACGGUAACAGGUUAAGCUGACGAGUGGCGAACGGGUGAGUAAUGCAUCGGAACGUGCCUGAACGUGGGGGAUAACGCAGCGAAAGCUGCGCUAAUACCGCAUACGAUCUAUGGAAGAAAGCGGGGGAUCGCAAGACCUCGCGCGAUUGGAGCGGCCGAUAUCAGAUUAGGUAGUUGGUGGGGUAAAGGCUCACCAAGCCGACGAGCUGUAGCGGGUCUGAGAGGACGACCAGCCACACGGGGACUGAGACACGGCCCAGACUCCUACGGGAGGCAGCAGUGGGGAAUUUUGGACAAUGGGCGAAAGCCUGAUCCAGCCAUGCCGCGUGCAGGAUGAAGGCCUUCGGGUUGUAAACUGCUUUUGUACGGAACGAAAAGGUUUGGCCUAAUAAGCUGAGCUCAUGACGGUACCGUAAGAAUAAGCACCGGCUAACUACGUGCCAGCAGCCGCGGUAA